rnacentral:rRNA from 1 species
AACGAACGCUGGCGGCAGGCUUAACACAUGCAAGUCGAGCGGACACUUCGGUGUCAGCGGCGGACGGGUGAGUAAUACUUGCGGAUGUACCCUUCGGCUCGGGAUAACGUUCGGAAACGGACGCUAAUACCGAAUACGCACCACGGUGGAAAGAUUUAUCACCGAAGGAUCAUUCCAAGCCGGAUUAGCUUGUUGUUGAGGUAACUGCUCAACAAGGCGAUGAUCCGUAGCCGGCCUGAGAGGGUGAUCGGCCACACCGGGACUGAGACACGGCCCGGACUCCUACGGGAGGCAGCAGUGGGGAAUAUUGGACAAUGGGCGAAAGCCUGAUCCAGCCAUGCCGCGUGCGUGAAGAAGGCCUUAGGGUUGUAAAGCGCUUUUGUCGGGGAUGAUAAUGACCGUACCCGAAGAAUAAGCCCCGGCUAACUCCG